rnacentral:lncRNA from 1 species
GCAAUGGUUUGGCCCACAUUAGGCUCCACCCUGCCUGGGCGGGGCUUCCUCCAGAGCAAGGCCUAUAAAAGGAACUCUGGGUCUUUCCCUGCUGCUUUCUGUCCCAGUCCCAGAGAGUGCACAGAGUCUCUUGCCGAAGCCAGACAACAGCUUGCCUGGAACUAGGCACUGCAGCGCACAAGUCCAUCGACUGCAUCGGACUUUGUUGAGUACCAGCCACCAACAUGUUGGGACCACGGCCCCGCAGCCCUGAAGACGAUCUACUACAAGAAGAACUGAACCCCGCCAAGCGCCACCGUGUCCAAGAACCCAGCGAGCACCCCAGGGAGGAUCUCCCCUCCAUCGUGGUGGUGCCUGCUGGCUAUGCCCUGAAAAUCCACCUGGAAGACUGCGACCUGCUGCUGGAGCCCACCCCUGGCUCGAUCACGCAAGUGUCGCACCCUGGAUUUGGAAUCAACAUUAUCCUGGUCCCACAGGACCUUCAGGUACCCAACGUUGAGACUGCCUGUACCCAAGUGCUUUGUUUGACUACACACCGUGAAUGGGAGAAGACGAAGACUGCAAGAAGAGUGGGGACACUAGAUCUCGCCCCUGAAGCUAAAAUGCUGUCUUCGAGAACCAGAAGACGAAUUUUCCAACUCCGGGCUUCAUCUCAAAACCUUGCAUAUCACCCUCGUCUGCAUCCGUGCGUCCCUGCAAGAACAAGGUCAGUGCCUGUCCCCUGUUUCUAUCACUUCAAGACAGCACUGGCUCUGCUAGGCUGCCAGUGUCCUUUCUGUGUUCCCCUGGCUGGAUGGAGACGUGACCUUGGCUUGGUCCUGCUGGACAUUGAAGCUGUACUAACAGACACCCCAGUGGCAGAAGACUCUUCCUAGUCUUAAGUAGAGGACGCUGCUUGGCUUCUUCGCAGCUGUGCUUCAACCUGCUGAAGAGACAGCCCUUGUCUGUCUCUUCACCACAACCAGGGCCACACAAAGAAACCUGGCCUCAAAACACAACAAACAAACAAGCAAAAAUUACCAAAGACAACUCCUGAAGAAACACGAUUGGAACAGGCUUGCCGGUUGGGCCAUUGCUUCCCAGGCCUUGACAAGCACAACCAAGCAGAACUCGGUCAAGUCCACCUUGCUCUCCAACCAAGAACUCUAGUUUCAUGUCUUGCAUUUCAAAUGCUGUUUUUCAAGGCAAUGCUUGCAAACUCAGUUUCGCUUAUAAAUUCAUAAAGAUGAUACAACACCGUGGCUGAGGGUGAACAAAAAGGAGUUAACAGUGUGGAGAGACAGACCCUGAGAGACAGAGACAGAGAGAGGAAUGAUGCGGGGAUGGAGGGAGGGAGGCAGUGUGUGUCUGUGAGCGAGGAAGAACACAAUGCAGAGCUCAACCAAUCUGUGGGACUGUGUGAGCAUGCAAAUUGUUGAAUGUCACCAAGUUGUAAAAUGCAGGAUCUCAAAUCCCCUAGACGCCCCCAGCAUAAAGCAAUAUCAAAUGUAUCCUAAUAAAUACUCAACAUGUUAAAAUUGUCA